AGGGGUGUCAUUUGUGGUGAUCAAAGCAUCUAUACUGUUUCCUUCCUAUUUUUUGGUUCGGAGCGUACCGAAUUUUUUUCAGAGUAUGCAACUCUGUGUACCAUAGUAAUCCGUGGUGAACUUCGCUUAAUAUCAUAGACCUUAUAUUAUAAUAGUAAAACUUUUUGUUGUAGUGAAAAAACACACAUUUUGAAAAAAAAAUUCUAAAAAAUCGCCUGGGCCCUAAGGUAGAAUCGUUCCGUUUACUGAAAUGAUUUAACAAAAUUUGUUCCAUUAUUUGUCCACUCCAGAAUCCGGUCGACGAGAGAACGCUACUGGGCAGUGACCAAAACUUCCGUUCUCGCGUAUUCCUACAGCAAGUAGGUAGUAGAGUGGGAAAAAUUUGGACACGAAACCGCGGAAAGCUCGUUCAAUUAGAUGCGUAGAGUAGCGUUCUC